GAUGAACGCUGGCGGCGUGCCUAAUACAUGCAAGUCGAGCGAAUGGAUUAAGAGCUUGCUCUUAUGAAGUUAGCGGCGGACGGGUGAGUAACACGUGGGUAACCUGCCCAUAAGACUGGGAUAACUCCGGGAAACCGGGGCUAAUACCGGAUAACAUUUUGAACCGCAUGGUUCGAAAUUGAAAGGCGGCUUCGGCUGUCACUUAUGGAUGGACCCGCGUCGCAUUAGCUAGUUGGUGAGGUAACGGCUCACCAAGGCAACGAUGCGUAGCCGACCUGAGAGGGUGAUGGGCCACACUGGGCCUGAGACACGGCCCAGACUCCUACGGGAGGCAGCAGUAGGGAAUCUUCCGCAAUGGACGAAAGUCUGACGGAGCAACGCCGCGUGAGUGAUGAAGGCUUUCGGGUCGUAAAACUCUGUUGUUAGGGAAGAACAAGUGCUAGUUGAAUAAGCUGGCACCUUGACGGUACCUAACCAGAAAGCCACGGCUAACUACGUGCCAGCCGCCGCGGUAA
rnacentral:rRNA from 1 species